rnacentral:rRNA from 2 species
CUCUCGGCAACGGAUAUCUCGGCUCUCGCAUCGAUGAAGAACGUAGCGAAAUGCGAUACUUGGUGUGAAUUGCAGAAUCCCGUGAAUCAUCGAGUCUUUGAACGCAAGUUGCGCCCGACGCCAUUCGGCCGAGGGCACGUCUGCCUGGGUGUCACGCAUCGUUGCC